GACGAACGCUGGCGGCGUGCUUAACACAUGCAAGUCGAACGGAAAGGCCCUGCUUUUGUGGGGUGCUCGAGUGGCGAACGGGUGAGUAACACGUGAGUAACCUGCCCUUGACUUUGGGAUAACUUCAGGAAACUGGGGCUAAUACCGGAUAGGAGCUCCUGCUGCAUGGUGGGGGUUGGAAAGUUUCGGCGGUUGGGGAUGGACUCGCGGCUUAUCAGCUUGUUGGUGGGGUAGUGGCUUACCAAGGCUUAGACGGGUAGCCGGCCUGAGAGGGGGACCGGACAAAUGGGGACUGAGAUACGGCCCAGACUCCUACGGGAGGAAGCAGUGGGGAAUAUGGCAAAAUGGGCGGAAGCCUGAUGCAGAAACGCCGGGUGCGGGAUGACGGCCUCCGGGUUGUAAACCGCUUUCGCCUGUGACGAAGCGUGAGUGACGGUAAUGGGUAUAGAAGCACCGGCUAACUACGUGCCAGCAGCCGCCGUAA
rnacentral:rRNA from 1 species